AACCUGCCCAAUGAGGAUUUAAAUGGCCGCGGUAUUUUGACCGUGCAAAGGUAGCAUAAUAAUUAGUUUUUUAAUUGAAAGCUGGAAUGAAAGGUUGGAUGAGAAAAUGACUGUCUCUAUUUAUAUUAAUUAGAAUUUUAUUUUUAAGUAAAAAAGCUUAAAUAAAAAUAGAAGACGAGAAGACCCUAUAGAGUUUUAAUUUAAUUGGGGUGAUUGAAAAAUUAAACAAACUUUUUUUAUAUAUGACCAUUGAUUUAUGAAUAAUUGAUCCUGUAUUAGAGAUUAAAAGAAAAAAUUACCUUAGGGAUAACAGCGUAAUUUUUUUAGAGAGUUCAAAUCGAAAAAAAAGAUUGCGACCUCGAUGUUGGAUUAAAAUUAAGUCUUGGUGUAGAAGCUAA
rnacentral:rRNA from 1 species